rnacentral:rRNA from 1 species
UACGUAGGCAGCAAGCGUUGUUCGGAGUCACUGGGCGUAAAGGGUGCGUAGGCGGGUUUUUAAGUCAGGGGUGAAAUCCUGGAGCUCAACUCCAGAACUGCCUUUGAUACUGAAGAUCUUGAGUCCGGGAGAGGUGAGUGGAACUGCGAGUGUAGAGGUGAAAUUCGUAGAUAUUCGCAAGAACACCAGUGGCGAAGGCGGCUCACUGGCCCGGUACUGACGCUGAGGCACGAAAGCGUGGGGAGCAAACAGG